rnacentral:rRNA from 1 species
CUCAGGAUGAACGCUAGCUACAGGCUUAACACAUGCAAGUCGAGGGGCAGCAUGGUCUUAGCUUGCUAAGGCCGAUGGCGACCGGCGCACGGGUGAGUAACACGUAUCCAACCUGCCGUCUACUCUUGGACAGCCUUCUGAAAGGAAGAUUAAUACAAGAUGGCAUCAUGAGUCCGCAUGUUCACAUGAUUAAAGGUAUUCCGGUAGACGAUGGGGAUGCGUUCCAUUAGAUAGUAGGCGGGGUAACGGCCCACCUAGUCUUCGAUGGAUAGGGGUUCUGAGAGGAAGGUCCCCCACAUUGGAACUGAGACACGGUCCAAACUCCUACGGGAGGCAGCAGUGAGGAAUAUUGGUCAAUGGGCGAGAGCCUGAACCAGCCAAGUAGCGUGAAGGAUGACUGCCCUAUGGGUUGUAAACUUCUUUUAUAAAGGAAUAAAGUCGGGUAUGGAUACCCGUUUGCAUGUACUUUAUGAAUAAGGAUCGGCUAACUCCGUGCCAGCAGCCGCGGUAAUACGGAGGAUCCGAGCGUUAUCCGGAUUUAUUGGGUUUAAAGGGAGCGUAGAUGGAUGUUUAAGUCAGUUGUGAAAGUUUGCGGCUCAACCGUAAAAUUGCAGUUGAUACUGGAUAUCUUGAGUGCAGUUGAGGCAGGCGGAAUUCGUGGUGUAGCGGUGAAAUGCUUAGAUAUCACGAAGAACUCCGAUUGCGAAGGCAGCCUGCUAAGCUGCAACUGACAUUGAGGCUCGAAAGUGUGGGUAUCAAACAGGAUUAGAUACCCUGGUAGUCCACACGGUAAACGAUGAAUACUCGCUGUUUGCGAUAUACUGCAAGCGGCCAAGCGAAAGCGUUAAGUAUUCCACCUGGGGAGUACGCCGGCAACGGUGAAACUCAAAGGAAUUGACGGGGGCCCGCACAAGCGGAGGAACAUGUGGUUUAAUUCGAUGAUACGCGAGGAACCUUACCCGGGCUUAAAUUGCAGAUGAAUUACGGUGAAAGCCGUAAGCCGCAAGGCAUCUGUGAAGGUGCUGCAUGGUUGUCGUCAGCUCGUGCCGUGAGGUGUCGGCUUAAGUGCCAUAACGAGCGCAACCCUUGUUGUCAGUUACUAACAGGUUCCGCUGAGGACUCUGACAAGACUGCCAUCGUAAGAUGUGAGGAAGGUGGGGAUGACGUCAAAUCAGCACGGCCCUUACGUCCGGGGCUACACACGUGUUACAAUGGGGGGUACAGAGGGCCGCUACCACGCGAGUGGAUGCCAAUCCCCAAAACCUCUCUCAGUUCGGACUGGAGUCUGCAACCCGACUCCACGAAGCUGGAUUCGCUAGUAAUCGCGCAUCAGCCACGGCGCGGUGAAUACGUUCCCGAGCCUUGUACACACCGCCCGUCAAGCCAUGGGAGCCGGGGGUACCUGAAGUGCGUAACCGCGAGGAGCGCCCUAGGGUAA